rnacentral:lncRNA from 1 species
CGGCCGGGCGCAGCUGCGCCUCGUCGGGAGCCGCGGGCGGGGCCCGCCCCAAAGCCUCUUAAGCUCCUCCGGAGGCUGCCGGGAGCCACGGGGGAGUUUCUGCGGUUCUGUAUGGCAGACGGAGUGAGUUCUGUUUCUUUGUCGGGCCCUGGUGCUGCUGAGGCUGAGAAGCGGCUGCUGUGAGCCCUUUUGCGGUAAGGACCAGCCCAAACAGGUGAGCGGUUCGGGUAGUAAGGGGACGGUGAGCGCUCAGGAGCCGCCAGGAUCUCCGGAGCUGGCGGCUGUCGGACCCCGCUCUUCUCGGGGCCGGCGUUAGGUCGCCGCCGGGCUCCCCCGGCUGUGCGGAGCCGAUACGGCGCCGCCGCCGCCGCCCGGCUGCCGUCGCGUUUUCGGAGGCGGCUGCCGCUCCGAUCCCCGAGUCCUCGCACAGCCCCGGGGUGCUCUCAGCCCCCCUCACCCUCGGGAUUUCUUUCAGCGGGUGCUUCAGUUCUUCAGGCUCUCCUCGGUAGGAGCGAACGCGGUGGGGCCGUAUUCGUGCAGCCUCUGUGCUGCCGGGAGAGAGAAGCGAGGCCAAGGGCUGCUGAAACAAAAGGUUUCUCGUGUUGCAGGCUGAGCGAGGGCUGUAGCAGAGCCUCUCAUCGCUCCGAAGCAGGCAGCUCGUGGAAGCGGGGAGUGUUUGAGAGUCGCUCGGUAAGAUCUCCCCUGCUGGGGCUCCUGUAGGGUUGCUGCCCGACUGCCUCCGUAUCUUUGGGAUCGGCACGGCGCCGCCGCUGGGGGCUCCCGUGUGGCUUUUUAGUAGGACCGGCACGGGGCCUCCGCCCGAGACCGAGCACGAUCCCGGGGUGGCCUCGGCCACUGCGGAGUGUUUUGCGGGUGCUCUCACCCAUCCCGUUUCCAGCGGUGGGAGCGAGCAGGUUGGGACCGUGGUUUUAUUUUUUUUUUUUUUUCCCCGCCUCUUCCUUCCCGUGUAACUGCAGGAGCACGAUUUAGGUUCCCACCGUGGAGACCUGGCAGGGCAGCUCGCACGACUGGAGUGCUGUCGUGGAUGGCUCUGUUCCUUUUAGGAAAGGCAGACCGGUCAGGCGGUGGAGUCUCUUUUCGAGGGAGAGAACGGGAACGUAUCGAGCUCCACCUAGGGAUGACUGAAGAACCAGCGGAGCGUUUGUGCGUGAGGCUGAAGAGGCAGCUGGAAAUGGUGCCCACAGCUGUGAGGCUAGUUCUCAUGGUAGGCUCCAGGAGUUUCCUGCAAUGUGUCAAAGGUAAGAUCUUCUGACACAGGUGACGAAGGAGGCAUUGAGGAGCUCCCUAUUGCAGAAGAGCCAUCUGGGGACAGGAAGGCCAGGGGCAGCCUGGAGCGUGCCAGUCGUGAGACCACAGCGUUUGGGAUCUUGUGUGGAAGCUGCAAAGCAAUGAGUAGGAUUGAAACACUGGACUUAGAGGGAGCCAGGUUUGUCCUCUUGAAGGGCCUACUUGGAGGUAACCCUUGCUCAAGCAUAGGAAGGGGUCCUGUGAAUGCUGGAGCAUUACUUUGUCCAUGCUGAGGUGCGCUGCGUCCCAAGGAGGAAGGAAGUGCGCAGGAAUGGUGGGGGACCUGCAGGGCUGACUGAGGAACUUGAAGGGGAGAAGGAAGAGAGAGGCUGAGGAAGGCCAAGUCCCUCUGAGUAUCAGCUUUGGGAGGGAGGUCAAGGCUAAUGGAAGUUUGUCAACAGGAGAGACUGGAGAAAUUGCAGGCCUGUGCUUCACAAGGCAAGGGCCUGAGUAAUGGAGGAUGGAGGACAUGCUGGAUGCCUGUUUUGGUUUCAGUGGUUUCUGCUGAGAGUGCUCCUGGGGUCCUGGAGGAGAGAGUCUCAGAGGAAGGCUGCCUUCCCCUCAGUUGCAGAGGAGCUGGUCAAAAGUGGUUCAGGCAGAAAGGAGGCCAGCAAAUGCCUGAGCUGUAGAGGGCUAUGCCUGUGCCCGCUGAGAGCUGGCAGCGGUGACCGGCAAAUGGCGCUCUCUGUCACUUUUCCCUGCUGUUUCCUGUGGGGAAAGGUACCUGAAGACUGGAGGAUGGCGGAUGCCACCGCAGCCUUCAGAAAGGGUGUGGAGGAUGGCGUGUGCAACUUGGAGGUAGGUUGGCCUCACCUCUGUUCCUGGGGAGGUGACGUAACAGCUUGUUGCAGGUGUCAUUGCCAUGUGACCGGAAGAGAAGGAAUUUGCAAGGAGCAGUCCAGGUGGAUGGACAGAGGGGAAGUCAUGCCGGACCAAAAGGGCGAGGGCUGCAGCGGAGAGCUUUGCCGAGAGGAUUGGCUGGAGCAGGUGUGCGGUUUCCCCAGCAGUGGGAUGAAGGAGGUGAGAGAGGGGGACCCCCAGGCGCGCCCCCUUGGAGGUGGUUUGUGGAGGUCUCCGUGCAGGUUCAGGCCGGAGGCAGGAUCCUGGUGGUGUGAGCGGGGUGCCCCUGUGGAGCAAGGGUGGAAGGUGCGUGGCAGGCCCUGUCCCGGAGGAGUGGAGUUGAUGGAGCGUGGCCCUUUGAUGCUGGAGUGAGGGGUCCUGGUGGGGCUGAAGUCCUGCGUGGAAGAGGGAGAUCCCAGGCGCUGCGAUGCGGAGGAGGAGCGGAGCCAGCGGUGGCUCCUGUGUGGUGAUGGCUGCUUAGUGGUGGUGUUCCUGGUCCUGGGCUGAAAGGAGGAGGAGGAGAAAGCUUUUAGUGCCUUACUUCAAAGCUCAGAUCACCUACUCCAACAGCACCAUGCCUCAGCCUCACUUCGCUCACCAGCUGAAAUUGCUGAGGAUGUUUCCUGUGUCUGUGUUGUUGCAGCUGAAUUUCUGCAAGGCAGCCUUUCUCAGAUGCGGUAGGGCUUCCCUGGCUUGAGGAUGUAUAUUGUACCUUCGUGUGGAAGUCUGCAGUUGUUAACUUCACUUUUAGUUAGUUAAUGUUCCAGCUGUGCUGCUGUUCAAAUGCAGCCACCUCUACAAGGCAGGAGAGAAAAAGGAGUUAAUUGACUUGAAUACAGAACUACUCUCCUUCUGCCUUUGCUGCUACUGUGUCUCAGUGUGUUAGUAGGUUGACUCCUUAGUGCAAGGAGAUGUCUGCUGGCCUUUAAGCUGUUGCUGCUGGGGCUAACAGGCUCUGCUUUUUUCCCAGUGGGAUGGUGAAGAAGUACACUACUGAGAAGAGAGGAAAAGCUUAACAAGUAUACAAACUCAGUAAAAUGGCUGCUGUGUGUAGAAUAGGAAUGCAGCCUGUGUUGGAAGGGACCUCCCACUUGUAGCUCUGCCCCGGUCUGCCUGAACUUCAACUGCCAUCUCCAAUGGUAGUGUCCAAAUGCUUCUCCAACUCCCUCAGCCUGGGGCUGUGACUGCUGCCUGGGGAGCUUGCUCUAACCGCCCUCUGGUCCAGGGUCUUGUUGUAAUCUCCAAGGUGGCUUAAUACAUGCACAUAAAUAUGCAUCUAAGUCCCUUGCCCUGGUCAUUUCUAGAAAUACUGAAGUGCGUGUGCCCUGAAAUGAAGCCCCGUGGCCCCUGACGAGUGCUGGUCUGCUGGCCUCUUGCACUCUCAUUUAUUCUAACAAAUGCUUUGAGCCCCUUUUGCAGGGGGCUGAGUCACAGCUUAGCUUUUAGUUUAAGGUUUUAGGAGGAAGGGGUGUUUCAUGGUGUGAGAUUUAGUCCUCAGGCCUGCUUUCCUGACAAGGAUUUUCUUUACCUACUCCCCUGCGUGAUACAUGCUUUGAACCAGGCCAGAGGACAGAUUUCAUGCUUUGGUAACCUGGGCUUCCUCUUCCGCAGUGGGAUGUUGUAGAAACACACAGGCACAGUUUGAUAAAACAGAAAAUAGAGCAGUUACUGAAUCUGUGUCUGAACUAGAAGUUGAUGGCGUAUUCCUCUGGUAGAGGAAUGUGAAAAGAUGGGGCCUGAAGCAGGAGUAAGUUUAUAGCUAAAGCAUAAAGAUCUUUCUCUUGCCCAAAGUUGGGAAUAUUUAACUGCUGCAAGCCCAGUCAUUUCACUGUAUGCAUUUUCUGCCUAGUACCAGUAUGGGUGCCUUCCCACAACCAGAACAGCUGAGCAAGGAGUACUGUUUGCAGCUAUGAAGCCUACAAAAGCCAAAAAACCUCUGUUGAUUCAUAAUGUCUUUCUUGGGCAUGCAUGUUCAGAAGAGAGAUUCCAGCAUGCAUACCCAUCAUUCUAAAGUAUCUUUCCUUAUGAACACCAGUACAGACUCCCUUUCACUGUCUCUUUUAGCUGGAGGCCUGGGCUGUGUGUGUGUGUUCCUCCAUCUGCGAUGAGAAGAAAAGAUUUCCUUUUUUUUAUUUUGUGUUCAAGACAAAUGAUAAAUAAAAACCCUCAUCCUUAACUCACAUGAGCAUUUGACUGUGAGUGGUUCCAAAAAUCU